rnacentral:rRNA from 1 species
UACGUAGGGUGCGAGCGUUAUUCGGAAUUACUGGGCGUAAAGCGUGCGCAGGCGGUUUUGUAAGCCAGAUGUGAAAUCCCCGGGCUUAACCUGGGAAUGGCAUUUGAGGCUGCAAGGCUGGAGUUUGGCAGAGGAGACUGGAAUUCCCGGUGUAGCAGUGAAAUGCGUAGAUAUCGGGAGGAAUACCGAUGGCGAAGGCAGGUCUCUGGGCUAUAACUGACGCUCAUGCACGAAAGCGUGGGGAGCAAACAGG